rnacentral:snoRNA from 1 species
GGCCUCUCUCCCAUGGGGUUGAGGAAGAGUCCUUUUUCUCCUCAGCCAGGGCUGGAGGCCAACAUCAGCCCUUGAGGAUCAUCGUCAGGGUUGCCGUGAGCUGGGUAGCCUUGUUUUCCUACCUCAGACAUUU